rnacentral:rRNA from 1 species
CACGUAGGCACCAAGCGUUGUCCGGAUUUAUUGGGCGUAAAGAGCUCGUAGGCGGUUCAGUAAGUCGGGCGUGGAAACUCUGGGCUUAACCCAGAGCCGCCACCCGAUACUGCUGUGACUUGAGUUCGGUAGGGGAGCAGGGAAUUCCUAGUGUAGCGGUGAAAUGCGCAGAUAUUAGGAGGAACACCGGUGGCGAAGGCGCUGCUCUGGGCCGAUACUGACGCUGAGGAGCGAAAGCGUGGGGAGCAAACAGG